GCAGUCGAGGGGUAACGAUCUUGAGCAAUCGAGAGGCGACGACCGGCGCACGGGUGAGUAACGCGUAUGCAACCUACCUCUAACUGGGGCAUAGCCCGAAGAAAUUCGGAUUAAUACCCCAUAAUGUCAUAGAUUCGCAUGUUUUUAUGAUUAAAGUUCCGGCGGUUAGAGAUGGGCAUGCGUGCCAUUAGUUAGUUGGUGAGGUAACGGCUCACCAAGGCAACGAUGGCUAGGGGGUCUGAGAGGAUGGUCCCCCACACUGGUACUGAGACACGGACCAGACUCCUACGGGAGGCAGCAGUGAGGAAUAUUGGGCAAUGGACGCAAGUCUGACCCAGCCAUGCCGCGUGCAGGAUGACAGCCCUACGGGUUGUAAACUGCUUUUAUACGGGAAGAAACCCUUGUACGUGUACGAGGUUGACGGUACCGUAAGAAUAAGCAUCGGCUANCUCCGUGCCAGCAGCCGCGGUAAUACGGAGGAUGCAAGCGUUAUCCGGAUUUAUUGGGUUUAAAGGGUGCGUAGGCGGAAAGAUAAGUCAGUGGUGAAAUCCUGCAGCUUAACUGUAGAACUGCCAUUGAUACUGUUUUUCUUGAGUAUAGUUGAGGCAGGCGGAAUGUGUAAUGUAGCGGUGAAAUGCUUAGAUAUUACACAGAACACCGAUUGCGUAGGCAGCUUGCUAAACUAACACUGACGCUGAGGCACGAAAGCGUGGGGAGCGAACAG
rnacentral:rRNA from 1 species